GGGCUGGCUUCCCCCGCGGUGGAGCUCGCCCGCGAGCGGCAAUUCUGCCGCCACCGAGCACUAACCCAAAAUUAAACUGGUGAUGCGCGAUGAGCGAUGAAUAGAGAACAUCCUGGAAGACGAAUUACCUUUGGGGGUGAGGUAGGGACCCUGGCCCACGGCGCACCGAAGCUCCGCCGUGGUGGUCGGCCGCCCAUGGUGAAUUCCGGUCUUCCCAAGUGGCAGCCGCAGAAUUGGUGGUCUCCCUAGCUUCGAUUCGACCCGGCGAACAUCAGGGAGGUUCUCCACUAGCGAUCCAUGGCACCAGAACUUGUCCACGGCACCGGUGGUGAACGGGAAGGAGGAGGGAAGGAGCAGUAAGCACGAGCGGGUCGUGGGAGGGGGAUUCAGCGAGGUGCGGCUGGAGGAGUAGUCGUGAGGCGAUUGCGUGGCGGCGCGGUAGCUUCGGCCAUGGGCUAGAAGGUGGCGGCCAUUCUCUCUCUCUCUCUGCUACUUGCAACAAGCACACGGUGCUUCACUGGCGUGGCUUAAGGUUGGCUAUCGGUGUGGCUCAGGGAUGUGAGGUGCGCGCAUAAGUAUCCAGUGGUCAGGGAAGAAUUGGUCCCCCGCAUGCCUCGGCGGGGAGCAACGACCGAUGCGCAAAAUCCGGCCAGCGACCCGGUAACAGAGUCUGAGCAGCGGCGAAUCUGUUGGGUGAAGAAGAUGCGGGCGAGAUGAUGAGGGGUCCACCAGGCAGCGAUUCGAGCGAGUAGUACUGGCCGACCGGUGGGGCUAGUUCGACAGCGCGCCCACGAUGAGAAGAGCCAAGCGUGAGUGCGGGCGUAUUGGUGGGCCGCGCGGGAUUAGGUUUAGUGGGCCGGUUGAGAAUAGGCCCAAGCGUUGGGCAAGGUUAUUUCUCUUUUAUAUUUUCUGUUUCUUCUCUUCUUUUUUUUAUUUCAAAUUCAAAUCAGUCCCAAGUUUAAAAUUCCAGUUUUUUUUGUGGCAACUCUAUCUUCUAAUCAAAUGUUCAAUUUGAACAUGAUAUGAACUUUAUAGGUUUUUAUUUUGUAUUUUAUGGUAAUUCUCUCUUUCUAUAUCAUUUCUCAUUUCCAAACUUUCAAGUUAGUCUUCGUAUUUCUAUUUUGUUUAUUAUUUUAUUCAUAUUGUUGUGACUACUAUUAAGGGCAUAAACAAUUAAAAGCCAACAUAAUGCACGAUUUAGUGAUAUGUCUUUUUAUUAAUUAUUUAUUUUUAAGUGAGGUGUUCACAUGUGAUGACAAAUGGAUGCGAUACACACAUAUAAAUAAAGGAAAACACUUUUCUCCUUUUAAUACAAUCUCUUACAAAUUAGGUGUUACAAAUCCUACCCCCUUAAAAAUAAUCUCGUCCUCGAGAUUAAGAAGGUCUAGGGAAAAGGUGGGGAAAAUCUAUGCGAAGCUCUUCUUCUCUUUACCAAGUUGCUUCAUCUUCACCGUGGCGGCUCCAUUGCACUUUGCACAUCUUUAUAACCUUAUUCCUCGUGACUCGAGUCAAAGUAUCCAAAAUCUUGAUGGGGUACUCAGUAUAAGUUAGAUCCUCUUGAACACUAAGGUCCUCCAUUGGUAAUUGUUCCUCAGGUACCCUGAGACAUUUCUUCAGCUGAGAUACAUGGAAUACAUCAUGAACAUCCGCGAGAUGAUCCGGUAACUCCAAUUGAUAUGCAACCUCUCCCACUCGCUUUAAGAUUAAGAAGGGUCCAAUGAAGCAAGGGGACAACUUUCCUUUGACAAAUCUUUUCAUACCCUGGAGUGCUGACACCUUCAAAUAAACAUAAUCUCCCUCCUUAAACUCAAGCAGUCUUCUCCGGGUAUCAGCAUAGCUUUUCUGUCUUGACUGCGCAGUUCUCAAAUUCUCCCUUAUUUGCUGGACUUGUUCUUCUGCUUCUUGUAUAAUCUCAGGCCAAAACAACUGCCUUUCACCAGUUUGAUCCCAAUACAGUGGAGUCCUGCACUUUCUGCCAAACAAAGCUUCAAACGGUGACAUCUUCAAACUGGCCUGAUAGCUAUUAUUAUAGGAGAACUCUGCAUACGACAAACUCUUAUCCCAUCUUCCACCAUGUUUAAGAGCACAAGCUCUUAACAUAUCCUCUAGCACUUGGUUGGUCCUCUCAGUCUGCCCAUCAGUCUGUGGAUGGUAAGCUGAACUAAAAUUCAAUCUUGUAUCCAAAGACUCGUGCAACUUCUUCCAAUACCGGGAGGUAAACUGUGAUCCUCGAUCUGACACAAUCUUCUUUGGCACACCGUGCAAGCAGACAAUCCGUGCCAUGUACAACUCUGCCAACUUGGGUCCUGAAUACGUGGUCUUUACUGGAAUAAAGUGGGCCACUUUAGUUAGCCUGUCCACAAUCACCCAUAUCGAAUCAUACCUAGCAGAUGUGCGGGGUAAUCCAACAAUGAAGUCCAUGCCAAUCUCUUCCCAUUUCCACUCAGGUAUCUUCAGUGGAUGCAGUAGUCCGGCUAGCCUCUGGUGUUCAGCCUUAACUCUUUGGCAUACAUCGCACAUAGCCACAUGUGCAGCCACAUCUCUCUUCAAACCAUACCACCAAUACUUUUGCUUCAAAUCCUGAUACAUCUUAGUACUUCCAGGAUGGAUAGAAUAAAUUGAGUCAUGUGCUUCCUUCAAUAUAGUUUCCCGAAGACUAUCAAUAUCGGGAACACAGAUCCGAUUCUUGAACCAUAUCGUGCCUUGCUCAUCCUCUGUGAAUUCCGGGCCUCUACCUUCUGUUAUCAGAUCCUUGAUCUCCUGGAUCUUUGCAUCACCAAUUUGUCCUUUGCGGAUUUCUUGCUCCAAGGUAGAUUCCAAUUCAAUGGUAACUCCUUCCGUAUGUGUAACAAUUCCUAGGUUGAGCCUCUCAAAAUCUUUUGCUAAUUCAUCAGGUAGUUGGACAACGAAAGCAGAGUGAACAUGCUCCAUACGACUCAAGGCAUCUGCAACCAAAUUCGCCUUGCCUGGGUGAUAGUGAAUCUCCAAAUCAUAAUCCUUAAUGAGCUCCAACCAACGGCGUUGCCUAAGGUUGAGAUCCUUCUGAGUGAAUAUGUACUUCAAACUCUUAUGAUCCGUGUAUACUUGGCACUUAGUUCCCAUGAUGUAGUGUCUCCAAAUCCUAAGUGCAUGCACAACUGCAGCCAAUUCCAAGUCAUGAGUGGGGUAGUUCAAUUCAUGCUUCCGCAACUAACGAGAUGCAAAGGCAAUCACAUGUCCUUCUUGCAUGAGCACACAUCCAAGUCUUUGGCCACAUGCAUCACAAUAAAUGUCAAUUCCCUUUUGUAGAUCUGGCAUAACCAAUACCGGUGGCGACAUUAGUCUCUCUUUCAAUUGAUCAAAGCUUUCUUGGCACUUCUCAUCCCACUUGAAUUCUCUUCCUUUCUCCAAAAGCGAUGCCAUAGGCUUGGCAAUUCUAGAGAACCCUUCAAUAAAUCUCCGAUAAUAUCCUGCGAGUCCCAAGAAACUCCAAAUCUCAGUAACUGUAGUGGGUACUCUCCACUCCAUUAUCUCCUUAACUUUAGCAGGAUCCACUGAUAUUCCUCCAUUAGAAAUAAUAUGACCAAGAAAUGGCACCUCGCCAAUCCAAAACUCGCACUUGCUGAACUUGGCAUAUAGCUGGUUAUCUCGUAGCUUCUGCAGCACCAAUCUCAGAUGUUCCUCACGAUCGCUAUCACUCUGAGAAUAAAUAAGAAUAUCGUCGAUGAAUACCACGACGAAUCUGUCCAAAUACUCCAUAAUCACCUUAUUCAUCAAGUUCAUAAAAUAAGCUGGUGCAUUGGUUAAUCCAAAUGACAUAACAGUAAACUCGUAUAAUCCAUAUCGGGUCGAGAAAGCCGUCUUAGGAAUAUAUGAUGGUCUAAUCUUCAUCUGAUGGUAUCCCGAUCGGAGAUCAAUCUUCGAGAAUAUCCUAGCACCUCUCCUCUGAUCAAAUAAAUCCUCAACGCGGUGCAACGAAUACUUGUUCUUCAUGAUAUAACCUCAUUAAGGGACCUAUACUCCACACACAUCCUUUGCGAUCUAUCCUUCUUUUGUACAAACAGUACCGGUGCUCCCCAAGGUGAGGAACUCAAACGUAAGUAACCAGCCUCUUGUAAUUCCGUUAACUGCUUCUUCAGUCCCUUUAACUCUUCUACAGACCUCCUGUAUGGCUGUUUGAAAGUAGGGGCAGUCCCAGGUAAGAGAUCAAUGACAAACUCAACUUUCGUAUCUGGUGGCAUCACUGGUAACUCCUCUUGAAAGACAUCCGGAAAAUCCUUAACCAAACGGAUGUUGUCACCAACAAACUUCCCAUCGACUAAGAAUGCUGCUAGUUUGGUGGCGGUAGUUACUGCAAUUCCAACUUCAAAUCUUUCUCCUUUGGAACUGGUGAGUUCUAUGGUUUCUUUAGCACAGUGUAUAAACUGCCUUUACCUUUCUUAACCACGACAUACCAAGGAUCACGUCUAUAGUGCUCUCUUCUAACACUAUAGGGGUAGUUCAUCUAGGUUAGAAAUACAGGGUAAGAAAGGAAGAAUUGUAGACAAGGCGAGUAAUUACGAGAAAUGUUAUUGCGGGGGAUUUAUUAGUUAAGUAGAUUAGUGUGUCACCCACUGAAACUAAUACAUUACCUUAUAGUGGUACAUGCUAAGAUGCCCAACUAUAAUGUUUCAAUCAAUCAAAGAAGCAAAUCAAGCAUUUAUCAUCAGAACAAUCAAACAACAUUUUUUUAUAAAGAAAAUAGUUUUAAAUUUUGUCUUAGGUUCCCUAUCUCUUAAAAAGAUCAUAGUGGUAGGAUUCCAAUGUGUGAAAUCCAUCUUGUCUUAGAGUAGAAAAGGUAAGAAUGAUCAGAAUAAGAUAAGUAGGUAAGGGUUGUCCAUUUCUAUCUAGGUUUCGUCCUACAGUCAACAUUUCCUCUGAUACCACUUCUGUAACACCCGGUUUUAAAGGACAAAGCCGGGUGCAUCUCAUACAUGCGCCAAGAAGACAACAUAUAUAAUAACAGAGUGUAUAGAGACAAAUGUCAUAAAACAUCAGAGUAAUUAUUACAUAGCGGAAGACUUAUUACAAAAUAAAGGAAUAAAUGUAAAACGAACUAAGGAUCGUCGGCGCAGAUGUCAACUGAGAAACGCCACCUAGAUCAGAUCAUACUCCUCGCCUUGUGGCUCCUCCUGAACUACCUGCUCUUCUCCUGUGGGGGGGUGUGAGACAGCAAGAGUGAGCUCACAUACGUUCAUCGCUCAACAAGUUGUGGGGAAUAAUGUGGCAUAAACUCACCAAAGGUGGGAGUUCAUGAAGUGUAAGGCUGAUCAAUGAAAUAAAGGCUGAGGCUGAGCAUUGCUUUUAUAAGUUGGUCAAAAUUUUAUUAGCAAUUACUAAGUGUAAGUAAAUAUCAAACCUUAAUAAUAAUAAAGAAAAGUAAUAGUAAAAUAAUCCCAAAUGCGAUGUAAAUGUCAAAUUGAAUUUAAGUUCCAUAAAUUAAUCAUGUGAGGGUCCGAGCCGCUCAUGACCGUGAGCACGGCUAGUAUACCAGUUUUACACUCUGCAGAGGUUGCGCAUCUUUACCCACAAGUCAUGUUACCCGUCCGCCAAGAGAUGACCAAUCCCAUACACCUCUACCGAGGAGGCGAGGCAGGGUAACACUACGAGGCCUUUACAAAGUUCCACUAGCUUCAGAAAUCCCGCUACAGUUUAUAGGAAGCUCCAAUGCAGGGUUCUUGCCUGACCGCCAUCGCAGCAAAAUCAACCAAGGACCUCCCUACACUGACCACUCCCCUACUGCCCUUGCCCCUUUCGGGUAAGGAAGACCUCCACUAGCUUUCCUAGUUAAUCAGCCAAGGGCGUCCCAUUAUACCCUUGUGGUAGCACUGUUUUCCCGGGUGGUCGCUCCAUGUUCCCAUUAACAUAAUGAUCUUAACAUGAACAGUAAUAAUAAAAGAGAAUAAAAGAGUAAUUAUGAAUAAAGUAUCUUCAUACCCAAAUCCACAUAAAGCAAUAGCAAGUACUACCCAAAGAAAUAUUUCAGUGGUAAACAAGGUAUAAAGAUAGCCAAAACUAGGGUAACCUAUUGGGUCCCAUCAAAAUUAUCCUAUGCAGAUCAUUAUAAUUAAUAAGAACAUGGCUGGGAAAAAGUAAGUGAUCAAGGGCACAACUUGCCUUCAAUGAGCUCCUGCUCAGCUAUCUCUACUUGCUUAACCUCAGAUUCCACAGUGGCUUGCUCGUCUACUCGCAUCAACACAAUACAUACAUAGUAUAGCAUAAAUUAACAUCACAUCAAGCAUGCAAAUAAAAUAUACAGUAAAAAUCUAUACAUUAAAAUGAGAUCAUAGGAACUGGAAUCAUUAAAUUUGGAGUUAUAGAUUUCAAGUUAUGAAUUUUCUAAGAUUUAAUGUGCUUGAAAUGGGAUUAAAUGAGAAAUUAAUUUUCUUACUAUUUUCAUGUCAAAACAGAGUCACUAAAUGAUAGAGAAUAAUAUUACAAAAUUGUAGAAAUUGGAAUGGUUCAAUUUGGAGCUAAAAUGAAUUUUCUAUGCAUUUUACAAGUUUCUAGAUUUGUUUUUGUAUUAAAAACGAAUUUCUAAUAUUAUUUCUCUAUUUUUAAUCCACACUGGACUGGGCCUCAAUUUCUGGAUAGGUCAGGGGGCUCUUGCGUAAGAUUACCGAGACACAGUGAAUAGUACCCGAGGACCGCGGGUUGAUUUUAAAGUUUGACGAGGUCUCUUUAACAAAAUAUACCCGCGAAGGGGUACGAGGGCAUCUAAGCCGCACGAUCUAAAAUGGACGCACGAGAUUAGAUCUGAGUUUAACGAAGCGGUAUGCGAUUCCCGGCCACCCGAUCCGAGAUGGACGCGCCAGAUCUAAUCGUGGCGAAAGGGUACCAACAUCUAAUCCCGGCCGCAUAAUAAGGAUCCAACGGCGCAUAACGAAUCGGUCAUGAUCUAAUCUCAUCCGCUGGAAACCGAUCCAACGGCACAAGAUGUUUACCCCCAGAUCUAAUCCUAGCCAUAGGUUCUACAUCUGACGGCAGGCGUGUCUUCUCCUAUCUCGAGCACCCCAGGCGGCGGGGCUGGCUUCCCCCGCGGUGGAGCUCGCCCGCGAGCGGCAAUUCUGCCGCCACCGAGCACUAACCCAAAAUUAAACUGGUGAUGCGCGAUGAGCGAUGAAUAGAGAACAUCCUGGAAGACGAAUUACCUUUGGGGGUGAGGUAGGGACCCUGGCCCACGGCGCACCGAAGCUCCGCCGUGGUGGUCGGCCGCCCAUGGUGAAUUCCGGUCUUCCCAAGUGGCAGCCGCAGAAUUGGUGGUCUCCCUAGCUUCGAUUCGACCCGGCGAACAUCAGGGAGGUUCUCCACUAGCGAUCCAUGGCACCAGAACUUGUCCACGGCACCGGUGGUGAACGGGAAGGAGGAGGGAAGGAGCAGUAAGCACGAGCGGGUCGUGGGAGGGGGAUUCAGCGAGGUGCGGCUGGAGGAGUAGUCGUGAGGCGAUUGCGUGGCGGCGCGGUAGCUUCGGCCAUGGGCUAGAAGGUGGCGGCCAUUCUCUCUCUCUCUCUGCUACUUGCAACAAGCACACGGUGCUUCACUGGCGUGGCUUAAGGUUGGCUAUCGGUGUGGCUCAGGGAUGUGAGGUGCGCGCAUAAGUAUCCAGUGGUCAGGGAAGAAUUGGUCCCCCGCAUGCCUCGGCGGGGAGCAACGACCGAUGCGCAAAAUCCGGCCAGCGACCCGGUAACAGAGUCUGAGCAGCGGCGAAUCUGUUGGGUGAAGAAGAUGCGGGCGAGAUGAUGAGGGGUCCACCAGGCAGCGAUUCGAGCGAGUAGUACUGGCCGACCGGUGGGGCUAGUUCGACAGCGCGCCCACGAUGAGAAGAGCCAAGCGUGAGUGCGGGCGUAUUGGUGGGCCGCGCGGGAUUAGGUUUAGUGGGCCGGUUGAGAAUAGGCCCAAGCGUUGGGCAAGGUUAUUUCUCUUUUAUAUUUUCUGUUUCUUCUCUUCUUUUUUUUUAUUUCAAAUUCAAA
rnacentral:lncRNA from 1 species